rnacentral:rRNA from 1 species
GACGAACGCUGGCGGCGUGCUUAACACAUGCAAGUCGAACGAUGAAGCCGGAGCUUGCUCUGGUGAAUUAGUGGCGAACGGGUGAGUAACACGUGAGUAACCUGCCCUUGACUCUGGGAUAACUGCUAGAAAUGGUAGCUAAUACCGGAUACGACCCUCGGAGGCAUCUCCAGGGGGUGGAAAGAAUUUCGGUCAAGGAUGGACUCGCGGCCUAUCAGCUAGUUGGUGAGGUAACGGCUCACCAAGGCGACGACGGGUAGCCGGCCUGAGAGGCUGACCGGCCCCACUGGGACUGAGACACGGCCCAGACUCCGACGGGAGGCAGCAGUGGGGAAUAUUGCACAAUGGGCGCAAGCCUGAUGCAGCAACGCCGCGUGAGGGAUGACGGCCUUCGGGUUGUAAACCUCUUUUAGUAAGGAAGAAGCGAAAGUGACGGUACCUGCAGAAAAAGCACCGGCUAACUACGUGCCAGCCGCCGCAGUAA